rnacentral:rRNA from 1 species
AUUGAACGCUGGCGGCAUGCCUUACACAUGCAAGUCGAACGGCAGCGGACCUUCGGGUGCCGGCGAGUGGCGAACGGGUGAGUAAUAUAUCGGAACGUACCUUUCAGUGGGGGAUAACGUAGCGAAAGUUACGCUAAUACCGCAUAUUCUGUGAGCAGGAAAGCAGGGGAUCGCAAGACCUUGCGCUGAUUGAGCGGCCGAUAUCAGAUUAGCUAGUUGGUGAGGUAAAGGCUCACCAAGGCGACGAUCUGUAGCGGGUCUGAGAGGAUGAUCCGCCACACUGGAACUGAGACACGGUCCAGACUCCUACGGGAGGCAGCAGUGGGGAAUUUUGGACAAUGGGCGCAAGCCUGAUCCAGCCAUGCCGCGUGAGUGAAGAAGGCCUCGGUUGUAAGACUCUUUCGGUCCGGGAGAAGUACGCACAGGUUAAUA